rnacentral:rRNA from 1 species
AGUGAACGCUGGCGGUAGGCCUAACACAUGCAAGUCGAACGGCAGCACAGUAAGAGCUUGCCCUUACGGGUGGCGAGUGGCGGACGGGUGAGGAGUACAUCGGAAUCUACUUUUUCGUGGGGGAUAACGUAGGGAAACUUACGCUAAUACCGCAUACGACCUACGGGUGAAAGCAGGGGAUCUUCGGACCUUGCGCGAUUGAAUGAGCCGAUGUCGGAUUAGCUAGUUGGCGGGGUAAAGGCCCACCAAGGCGACGAUCCGUAGCUGGUCUGAGAGGAUGAUCAGCCACACUGGAACUGAGACACGGUCCAGACUCCUACGGGAGGCAGCAGUGGGGAAUAUUGGACAAUGGGCGCAAGCCUGAUCCAGCCAUACCGCGUGGGUGAAGAAGGCCUUCGGGUUGUAAAGCCCUUUUGUUGGGAAAGAAAAGCAGCAGGUUAAUACCCCGCUGUUCUGACGGUACCCAAAGAAUAAGCACCGGCUAACUUCGUG